UGUACAAGUUGAAUCUCUCGAGGCCCCUAACCCAACUGGAAUCGCAAAGGCCCAAAAUAUUGUUAUUCGGCCUCCGGCAAAUACAAAUAGAGACCAGGUGAAAUCUCAUAAGUCCUCUACUGCCGAAUGGCCACCGACCGAAACGGAAAGAGAGCGACCUCAUAAGAAAAUCAUAAUUAAGCGGCCAAAAGAAAUUAUUGAUACAGAUCAGAUCAGUCAGGAUGGAGGCACCGAACUUCAGCAUAGGAAGACUAAAAGGAUAGUUGAAUUGUCAAGUUUUGAAAAACAUAGAAAGCAGGAGAAUGUGUAUUUGGCUGACCAGGCAGCUAAGAAGAAAGCUAAAGAUGAUAGGAGACAGUAGGAGGAGCAAGAGAAGUGGAGAAGUGAAGAGAGAAGGAGAGAAGAGAGGGCAAGGAAGCUUAGUAAGGAGGAAAUGCGGAUGUUUGAAGAGAAAGAAAGAUUAGCAGAGCUCAGAAGAUAUGAAGCUUCAAUUAGAAGAGAGAGGGAAGAAGAAGAACGCCAAAAGGAAAAGAAGAAGAAAAAGAAGAAAAGGCCUGAGAUACGAGAUGAGUAUAUAGAGGACGCUAGAGCAAGAAGAUAUGAAAAAAAGAGUGGCAGAAAGGGAUCGAAGUCCAAAAAGAAGGCCUGUUGUUGAGUGGGAAGGGUAGGUGCUGACAAUGGCCCAACAACAAAGCGUCGUAGAGGAGGAGUAGAGGUUGGUUUGUCUAACAUCUUGGAGGGCAUUGUAGAGACCCUAAAAGAUCGAUAUGAAGUAUCAUAUCUUUUCUUAAAACCAGUAUCCAAAAAAGAAGCACCUGAUUACCCGGACAUCAUAGAACGACCAAUGGAUCUGUCCACCAUCAGAGAGAAGGUGAGGAAAAUGGAAUACAAAAGCCGGGAACAAUUCAGGCAUGAUGUGUGGCAGAUCACCUAUAACGCCCACAAAUAUAAUGAUGGACGUAACCCAUGUAUACCUCCCCUUGCCGAUCAACUUUUGGAGCUGUGCGACUGUAUGUUAAAUGGGAACGAUGAGAAUUUGACUAAAGCAGAAGCACGCAUUGAAUCUCGAGAUAUUUGAGAAAUUUUGAGUGAUAAUAUGAGAUCUAUUAUUUCAUAGAAUGCCCCAAUAGUUAACUUAUUUCACUAGCAGCGCAAGGUUUUGAUUGCGUUUAAUGUAAAAAUCAUGCAAAAGCCGAGUCCAACUCACGAUCUAUGUAAAGAAUGUUGCAAUAUCCCUUAUUUGUAUAUUUGUAAAUACUGUAUGAGUUCUUUGAUGACUGGCUCCAAAGUUGGAUUAAUAGAAAAUCAUCAAUAUAUAUGAUGAAAGGAUUAUAUCAUUUAUAA